CCUACGGGGGGCAGCAGUGAGGAAUAUUGGUCAAUGGACGCAAGUCUGAACCAGCCAUGUCGCGUGAAGGAAGACUGCCCUACGGGUUGUAAACUUCUUUUAUACGGGGAUAAACGCAGGUACGCGUGCCUUUUUGUAAGUACCGUAUGAAUAAGGAUCGGCUAACUCCGUGCCAGCAGCCGCGGUAAUACGGAGGAUUCGAGCGUUAUCCGGAUUUAUUGGGUUUAAAGGGUGCGUAGACGGUUGGUUAAGUUAGUGGUGAAAUUUUGAGGCUCAACCGUAAAAUUGCAUCUGAUACUGGCAGUCUAGAGAGUAGUUGCGGUAGGCGGAAUGUGUGGUGUAGCGGUGAAAUGCUUAGAGAUCACACAGAACUCCGAUUGCGAAGGCAGCUUACUAAACUGUCACUGACAUUGAUGCUCGAAAGUGUGGGUAUCAAACAGGAUUAGAUACCCGAGUAGUC
rnacentral:rRNA from 1 species